GACGAACGCUGGCGGCGUGCUUAACACAUGCCAGUCGAACGGGCCCGCCCCUGUUUUUGGGGGUGGGUUGAGUGGCGAACGGGUGAGUAUCACGUGAGUAACCUGCCCCCUGCUCCUGGAUAACUGCUUGAAAGGGCGGCUAAUACGGGGUGUGCCGGCUGGUCCGCAUGGGCCUGGUCGGGAUAGUUUCAUCUUCGGGUGUUUCGGUGGGGGAUGGGCUCGCGGCCUAUCAGCUUGUUGGUGGGGUGAUGGCCCACCAAGGCGGUGACGGGUGGCCGGCCUGAGAGGGUGGGCGGCCACACUGGGACGGAGACACGGCCCAGACUCCUGCGGGAGGCAGCAGUGGGGGGUAUUGCACAAUGGGCGGAAGCCUGAUGCAGCGACGUCGCGUGAGGGAUGGAGGCCUUCGGGUUGUGAACCUCUUUCUCCGGUGGUGAAGGCCCUGUCCGUUGCGGCGGGGUUGACGGUAGCCGGGUAUGAAGCGCCGGCUAACUACGUG
rnacentral:rRNA from 1 species